rnacentral:rRNA from 1 species
GUCUAUGGCCAUACCACCCUGAACGUGCCGGAUCUCGCCUGAUCUCGGAAGCUGAGCAGGGUCGGGCCUGGUUGGCACUUGGAUGGGAGACUGCUGACAAAGCAGACCUUAGAAC